rnacentral:ncRNA from 2 species
UUAUAAUUUGGUGAUGAGGUUCGCCAUGUAUUAAUUUACAGAACCGUUAAACUUUUUUUAAGAUUUAACUGAUGACUUCCUAUUUAACU